AGUCAAGCUGACCUGUAGGAUAGGAAGGUCAGAAGUCAAGCCUCCGUGGCCGGUCAACAAUCCAGCUGGCGUGUAGGUCAGGAAGGUCAGCUGCCGAUUAAUGACCAUCACCGGAAUCUCGAAGGAGCUGACGAUAUCCAAGCCUUCUCCAGCGGACUGAUCACUUCCUCGACAGUUUCUUGUGGUCGAUCGACGAUGAUCCGGCGAAGUUAGGGCACGGCGAGACUAGGGCCUGGCGAGGGAGGGGAGAUUCGAGCCCUAAUUGUAUCGUGUGGAUGUCUAGCGCUUCCUCGUCGUCGGAGUUUGGAUCAGGGAGGUCCACUUCACUGGAUUCCAGUUCCCCUUUCUCAUCGACGUUGAUCGGCUGCUGACCCUUGUUGUGGACGGACUGUCGAUGCAGAAAUUGAGGUAAGGUAAGGCUAGUAUUAGUUUCUAGUGAUAUAAUCUCCAUUUUUGACUUGGGAUGUAGAGAUUGGAUUCUUGGUUGUUCUUGUAGCUGUUGAAGUCUUGGUGAAGUGGUGAAGGUCCAUUUGAGGACUACCUUGGGAGUUAUCGAGCAGAGGUUUGUUGGAUUGGGAGCUACUGAAUUUCUGUUGAAACCUCAUGGACUUGGAUUCGAGAUGAGCGUCUCGAUGUGGGAUUCCCGGACACGAUCUACGUCUUUAAGGC